GCGCGGGUGGCGGAACUGGUAGACGCACUGGAUUUAGGUUCCAGCGGAGCAAUCCGUGGGGGUUCGAGUCCCCCCUCGCGCACCA
rnacentral:tRNA from 3 species